rnacentral:rRNA from 1 species
AAUCUACCCUCGAGUGGGGAAUAACCUAGGGAAACCUGGGCUAAUACCGCAUAACACUUACGAGUCAAAGCAGCAAUGCACUUGGGGAGGAGGUCGCGGCAGAUUAGUUAGUUGGCGGGGUAAUGGCCCACCAAGACGAUGAUCUGUAUCCGGCCUGAGAGGGCGCACGGACACACUGGAACUGAAACACGGUCCAGACUCCUACGGGAGGCAGCAGUGGGGAAUUUUGCGCAAUGGGGGAAACCCUGACGCAGCAACGCCGCGUGGAG